rnacentral:lncRNA from 1 species
GUGCUUUAUGUACAUAAUUCUUCAGUUACAGGCAAUAAAUUACUGUUAUGUUUUUACCAUGCGCAAUGAACAAUCAUAAGAAAAUCAGGAGGUGGAAUGUCAUAACAAGAUGCAUAUGCAAGAUUGAAGAAAAAGGACAAAUACAAAAAAUAGGGCACAAAUCAUCAUGACAGAGUAACCAAUACCCCACUUUUUUCAAAAGAAAAGAUUACUAGUGUGACAGGAUUGCAAAAUAAGUUCAUUCCUUAGGUAAAAUUGUGAAGAAGAGGAAGUCUGCAUGGCCAUUUGUGCAAAUAAGGCAUGUUGGGUAGUAAGUAGCAGAACACACACCUCAAAUUGGCUUCAAAUAGUGAUGGCAAGCAUUAUUUACAUCACAGAGGGGCAGACAAUGCAGUGGCUGAUCAGAGCUUUCCUGAUACCAUCAUGCUUUUUAGAGGCCUCUGCUCUGCCAGCCUGGGAGUCAUCUUCACCCUCAGGCUGGUAGACUCCAGUCUCUUAGGUCAGAAUGGGAUUAGAGACCCGUUCCUGAACCAGUCACACACAGCGGGUGAAACUGCUAUGAUUGGUUUAGACUUAGAGACUGGAAUGGAUGCUGGCCUAGAAGCGAAGACACAUAGAAGCAAUGUGUACCUAGACUGUUGUCCUAAAUGCCAUUUCCUACCAGGAAGGAACCAGAGUCUUUGCAGAAAUGUAUCAUUUCACAUCUGGAAAACAUCGCCCAUUUCAUCUGUUUCUUCAGUCCCCAGAUAGCAGAUGACUGGUAGGAAGAUGAGGCAAGUUUGCGGUCCAUUGUCAUGGAUAGUGGAGACAACACUGGGCCAGAAGUGGUAAGACCUGAAUCCAAGACUCAGCUCUGCCACUUGCUAAAUGGGACUUUGAAUAAACCAUUUCUCUGCACUUAAGUUCCUUACCAACAAAACGAGGGAAGUGGCCUACAUGCCUAGAUAUCAACAUUUCAUGUCACGUAGAGAUCUAGCAUCACAAGAAUCCAAGUCAUCCUCUGUUGCCUUUAAGAAAUUAGAAUUAAAGGAAUCAGAAUUGAAGUGAAUCUGACUACACUAAGCCUAUCACUUGUGACAGCCAUGGGAAGAUAUCAUUGGUUGCUGAGGAGCAGAAAUAAGCAGAGACCUAUUGUGUUAGGUUAUCAUUCAUUUCAGACAAAAAGCAGAUCAGCAAGUUUUCAUAUUGCACUAUUUUCAAUGGCUGGAGCAUCAACAUUUUACAACAAGAAAAAAAUUAAAAUUCUUCAACAUUUGGAAAAGAAGUGUUUGUAAAACUUUUCACAUCCAUUCACCAUCCGGAAAAGCAAGGUUUUACAGUGAGGCCUGAUGAUGUCUAGAGUCACCAUGCAUCUUGGAAAAUGACCUCCUAUUUAUUUCUUCUACAGGACACCAUGGUGUUCACCUUUCUACAACUUUACACUUGCUGAGGACAUAUUGUGGAAAAUUAAGAGAAAUAUAUAUGGAUGGCCAAGGCUGUAGAUGGAUGUCCAAGCCUUUUUACUGGGGAAUGUUUUCAGAACAAAAUGAGUUACAGGUUCAAGAGUGAAACCCAACAAAUCUUGGCUCUUUUUUUCUCUACUAAAUUCCAAAUCAAAAGUAUUUAUGGAGUGCUUUUAAUGUGCCACGCACUGGGCUAGAGAUUCAUAAUUUUGAUGGGAAUCUGUGUAUUCAAACUCUUUUAACGUGGAAACCUUGCUUGUGCAAGGUCCUCCCAGAUCUUAUCCUACUUUAUCAAAGCUUGGCUAAAUGCAACAUGUCUUCUCCCCAGUGCCCUGGGUCUCUGUACACGCAGUAAAGUGGUCCUUAGACAUAUGCUGAAAUAGGGCUUAAUUUUCCCCAUAUACGAAUGAGAUAAAUUCUACUACAUGUAGCCAGACUUCGAUAGGGAGAACACCCAAAGUCACUUAAAAUAAAACUACACUUUCAUUUUUGCAAGCCAAAUAAUCCUGGAGGAAAUUGUGCUAAUUUUUUUUUCAAAUUUUCAGUUUACACAUUGGAGUUUUGACUUCAAUAUGUAAAAAGUGCAUGAAAAUGAAUGUAGUGCAUCUUUCCUCAUAUGCUCUGCAGUGAUGCGAACUGACUGCAUGGCUAGCUGGUCACCUGAUAAAGGGCACACAGAGAUUCUUGUAGUUCAUUAGGGAUUACUCCGAGGUUGAACACAGGUUUUUCUUUUUCUCAGAUAUAUAGGUAAGACUUGAACUUCAAUUUCCUGCAUAGUGAAUAUGGUUUCUAUUGUCAUGAUUGAGCUUUUUUCAUUUUAAACACUGAGAGCUUCUUUUGAGUUUGUGGGACCCACGCUUUUGGGCAAAGACUGCUUUCUCAAGGCACAUAUGUUCAGAUGUUCAGGUCAUGAUGCAGAGGUAUCAGCUGGGAGGUGCCCCAGGUAAGUUUGCUACUAAACUUCACCCACCCUCAUCUGAGAGGCCACGUCUCUUCCCCUGAGUCUGGGGAUCAUGACACUUUAUAUGUCAGCUACUUUCUUUUUUCGUUUUAUUUUAUUUUAUUUUUGAGAUGGAGUCUCACUCUGUCUCUCAGGCUGGAGUGCAGUGGCACAAUUUUGGCUCACUGCAACCUCUGCCUCCCAGGUUCAAGUGAUUCUUCUAACUCAGCCUCCCAAGUAGCUGGGAUUAUAGGUGCACGCCACCACACCCAGCAAAUUUUUGUAUUUUUUUUUUUUUAGUAGAGACAAGGUUCUGCCAUGUUGGCCAGGCUGGUCUCGAACUCCUGCCCUCAGGUGAUCCGCUCGCCUCGGCCUCCCAAAGUGCUGGGAUUACAGGUGUGAGCCACUGCACCCGGCCACAUCAGCUACUAUUUAAUGAACAUCUUUCCCUGGACAAGAACAAAACUCAAAGAAAUCCAACAGAUUGCAACUUAGUCCUGGGGAGAGAAAAGUCCACAUGUUAAGCAGAAAGCUGAACCACAUAGAAUUCAACCUUUGGUGCCGCUAGUGUUGACAAGGAAGGAUAGAUUCUCUGAGCUAGAGUAAUAAAGAAAGAGAAAUGAGAAACUAGUAUAUCUCCAAAGGUUCUCAAAGUAUUAUUCCUGGACCAGUAGCAUCAACAUUCCCUGAAAAUAUGUUGGAAUUAAAGAUCUCAGCCUCCACCCAGACUUACUGAAUCAGAAAUUCUGGAGCAGGGUCCACUAAUCCUUGUUUUAGUCUUCUGGGUGAUUCUGAUACACACUCAAGUUUGAGACCCUCUGUCUAGCUACACCAUGCUCUUUUUACUUCAACUCAUUAUCCCCACAACAUGAUGCCAUAAUAUAGGAGAUUACAUAGUGUCAGGCUUUGCUUAACUUAGGCUAAGUCUUUAGAUAGAUACAAAGAGGUCAUUC